rfam:Salmo salar isolate Sally breed double haploid chromosome ssa10, whole genome shotgun sequence.
UGCACGCAUGAUUGUAAGCUGCUAUGGAUAAAAGUGUCUGCUAAAUGGCAUUUA